rnacentral:lncRNA from 1 species
AAUAAUUAUGAUGAUUAUUUUGAUGAAGAAAAUACGAAAUCCUUUGUUGCAGACCGCGAAUGCAGUCACGUUCUCUCUUUGCGAGGUCCAAAAGGGAUACCGGGGAGUGUUCCAUGUGGUGUAGCUCAGUAAGGACAUACUAACUAAAUUAUAUUGUAACAAAUUUGCUACAAUAUAAUAUAGUGUCAAAGUUGUUGUUGUUGCAAUUUUUCACAAAGCUAAAUGCGUCGUAAAUGUUGCAACAAAUAGAAAUUAGAUAUAUAUAUAUAUAUAUAUAUAUAUAUAUAUAUAUAUAUAUCAUCUAAUAGAAAUUAUUAAUUUCAUGUGUAUAUAUAUAAAAUAAAAAGUAAUAUUAUGGAGAUAUAAGAUACUUCUUAAGAACGUUAUACAAAUUUAGAAUCUUUAAUAACUAGUCCAUACAAAAUAAACGAAAUUCAUUAGAAAAAUGGCAAUACUUAUUCGAAAAAUCUAUUUAAACAAAACAAAAACGAAUCUAUAUAUACAUUUUUGGAUGACUUUUAGCAAAUAAAUCCUGGAGUUGGAAUGUAUUUACGGAUGAAUGCCAUUGGCAUUAAUUAUUUAAAUUUGAAAAAUAUUAUUUAAAGAUAUUACCAACACGAUUUCGAGAAUCAUAAAUUCAUAUCUUCCUUAAUUUUCUGAGUCAAUAAUGUUAUAAUCUUUAGGAAAUAUUUCUCUGUAAAAAAAAAAAAUCCACAUUAAUAAAGGCAUUAAAAUCGACACUAACAAUUAAAUUAUUUAGAUAUUCAAUUAUUUUAAGAUUCUUAUAUCUUAUUUGAUAUAUUUUUUUAAUAUCUCAUUCUUUAAUUACUGCGUUUAGAAUUUAUUGGUUGUUACCUAUUUUUUGGUGAAAUUUAUUGGUUGUUACUUAAUAAGUAAUUAUGGUGCGUUUAUUUUAGUUAAUAUCUAAUUUAAAGGAUUUGUUUUCUUUUAUUAUUAAUAAACGAAUAACAUGUAUAGAAAUAAAAGAUUUUUCUUGCGACUCCAUAAUAAAAAUAUUAAACUCUUAUUUUCUAUAUUUCUUACACAUAAUAUCCUCUUAUUCAAUAACAAAAAAUAUAUAUUGCAUAUUUUUAAAAAUAUUUAUAAUAUUUAAAUUAUAUAAAAAGUUUGUAAUAUUAAUAUUAUUUCAAAUCUAUACAAAUUUAAUAUAUAUGUAUAUAUAUCUUAUGGGAACCAUUUAAAAGAAAUUUUUAAAUUGACUUGAAUUAUAUAGCUUUUAAAUAAAAGUAUUAUUAAAAAGAAAAAUAACUAAAUGAUGUUUAAUUUCACGGGACGGGUAAUAUGAUGGCACGGGUUUGGGUUGAUAUUUAUAAAAGAUAGUAUACCACGGGUGAAAUCCUAAAAUUAACAAUCAAAAUAAUCUAUCAAACAAAUUACAUUUUGAUUUUUUUAAGAAAAUAUAGCCCCGCGGUGUACCGCGGGUUAAAAUCUAGUACUGGUACAAUUUGCUUUAUAGAAAUCUUAAUUCGAUUUUGUUAUAUAUAUAUAUUUGAGUCAUCCAAUAAAUUUUUUAUUAAUCUCAUGGGUGUUCAAAAAAUCGCUAAGCGGCGGUGAGGGUGGGCCUAGCACCUAGCAAAAAAAAUCGGAGAUUAUAUGGAAAUUAAUCGGGAUUAGCUUUAGGACUAUGUAAUGUUUUAAAAACAUAUUAAUCCAUUAUAAUUAAAAAAUUUAUAUAAUUUUGUUUUAUAAAUAAAUUACGUAACACAUGAAAUCAAGAUUUUAAGCUCAGAUUUAUGAUUUUUAAACAAAUUACAAACAUAGGUUGGACAAUUGAAUUUUAGAUCCAUUAAAAAUGUAAAAAAAAAUGGGCUAGGCGCGGUGUAGCGUCUCUUAACCAUACUAGACAUAAGUCCGGCUAGGCCCUUACAUGUGACAAGUACUUUGUACGAAUAGACCGAGGUUGUAGCACAAAAUUAGUGUCCUUAGUCCGUCCACCCUUAGUACCGUCUCUUCCGAUCCCGAAAUUAGGCUUGCCAAACCUUUUCCGAGAAAGGAAAUUGUGUCGGCCCGGACAAAGGCUUAUCAUCAAUUCCUCGUCAUAAAAUUAAACAUAACUUUAUUCAAUAAUAGUAAUAAAACAACGUUCAUACAAAAACCAGUUUUAACGAGUCAUGACUUCAAGCAUAUACCAAAAAGAAAUAAAAGCAACUUAAACAACUAACAAACUACACCAGCGGCCUACACGUCCAAACUCCCUCUAAAGCAACCCAACUAAUGGUUACCAGCAACAAAAUAGUGGCAUCAUGAGUACUAAUUACUCAGUUAGUUCGACGCCUAAACUCGAAAAUUAAACACCCCAAGUCCCCAACAGAAAAAUAGAUAAACAAGCAACAAGCAAAACCAUUGACGAACAAUGGAAAACAAUCAAUCUAACAUGCAACCUAAACAAACAAGCAAUAAACAACAAAUAACAACACAACACAUCCUAUGGCCAUGUGAACGAUCCUUCCCAUCGAACAAGUGAACAAUCCGUUUAAAGCCACGAAGUCUAUAAACGAUAUACCACAUGGGCCUUCAACGACGGACAAUCCCCGUUACCUCGUCAGGUAACUGUCUGGCCCUUGGGAGCGACCUAGUCUCUCCGAACCCAAUAAAAAGAGGGAAGUGCACUCGAACACCACAAAACUCUAAAUAACAACCACACAAACAACAUGAGCCAAACCACGACAACAACAACAAAAAAAAACAAGCAAGCAAUCAAGAAGAGAAAGUUUGUGCGCCACUUCACACACUUUGGAACUCACAGAUGUGGACGGCAAAUCAGAUCUCUCGGCGAUUCUUCUCGGCAACGGCAGAAAAACGACAAAACAGUCUCCAGCAGAGCUUCUUCACCUUCGGGAUCUCCU